UUUUUUUACCACAAAUUUAUUUCUGAAAGAAGUUGGAUUUUGCACGAGUUUCUAGAGUUAUGGUCGGACCCAUGUAUCGGGUUUCCUAUAUAUCUUAGGUUGCAUGAGAAUUCAGGUCACUUGUAGUUCAUAAAGCUUGAUUCUGAAGCACAAUUUUCAAAGAAUUCACGAGCUAUUCCAAUUUUCAAAUUUUGGUGAAAUUGAAAAGCUGAGGAAUAAGCGGAUUGUGGGAAGGUUGGAAUGCAGU
rnacentral:lncRNA from 1 species